AUUGUAGAAAUACACAGUCAUAGUCUGGGGGCAUCUAGGCCCCUUGGCACCUUUGCCCCGAGGCAGAGGGGAAAAAUAAGAGAACAUGAGGACUGGGUUUAGAAAAGCCCGGGGAUGCAGAACCAAAAGCCCCACUUCAGAGACAAGGAGCUUGGCUUAAAUUCCUGGGGCUACCAUUUAAUCUGGGUGAUGAUAUGGGUGGAUGGAGGUGAAGCAUCUGAGAGCCUCAGUUUCCCCUACUGUAAGAUAGGGACAGCUGCUCUUCAACCCUAGAGAGUUGCUGUGAAAAUGAAGGAGCUUACUAAUCACAUCCGGAUGUCAUCAUUGCCCUCCUGGAGACUUUAUUUCUGCUGUAAACUGUUUCCUCUGUGCUUUGCUUGUAUCCUGUUCUGCAGCUACCCACAUGCAUAUCAGCUGGAAUAUAUUUCUGGUUACAACAUCUGGAGAAGUCAUGCGUGAAUAUGUGUGUGUGCGUGCACGCGUGUGUGCGUGCGUGCAUGCCAGUCAGGGUCAAACCUUUGUUGUUGUUGUUUCUCAGAGGCUGUCUGCCUUGUUUGUUGAGACAGCCUUUCUCAUUGGCCUGGGGUUUACUUACUGGUUAGGUGAGGCGAGCUGCCCAGUGAACUCCUGGGAUCUGCCUGUCUCUGCCUCCGCAGGACCGAGAUCACAACUGUGUGCAACCAACACUCUGCUUUUUAAAACAUGGGUUCUAGGAACUGAGUUCAGACACUUUGCUCUUGUGUCAAACACAUUACCAACUGAGUGCUCUCUCAAGCUUCCCAGAAAUGGUUCUUUUUU
rnacentral:lncRNA from 1 species